GGACCUUUUUGCCAAGAGAGAUUCCCUCUCAGCAAGCAGGUACAGCACCUUCUUGCCAAGAGGGAUUCCCUCUUGGCAAGCAGGAUUAG